rnacentral:lncRNA from 1 species
AUAAAUGAGCACACGGGUCUUCUUGGGGGUCCCAGCAGAGGGACCCAAAGACAGCACUGAAUACUCAAUUUCUGUCUUGAGUCUCCAGGGUCUGUAGAAAUGUUAGACGCAUCUGGUGGCCCGUUUAGGAAAGAGCGGUGAGGUGAAAACUCUCCGUUUUCAAGAAGAUAGGAAAAGAAAAAGAAGGGAAAGAAGAGAUGAGAUGAGAAAAUGGCCGAAGCAUAAGAAAAAGGAUCCAGGUGCAGGAAGCCAGUAAGGAACCUGUCCAGGAGCUAAUUCUGCCUUUCCUAAGGAACCAUCACUGGCUGGAGCCCAAGAGCAGAGUACAGGCUAUGCUGUGCCCUGAGAAGAGAUGAGUACAUGCGCCCAGCCCAUGGAGUACGUUGCAGGGCGCCUGCUGGCUGCCUAUACAUAGCACUAGGACCUGAGCAGGGCUUCUCCCCCCCCACCCCCAACAGGGAGGAACGUUGCCUAAGGCUCUUGGUAGAGCCUCCCACUUUACUGGAGAAGCUUGGUAAGGGAGUGGCAAAGGGUCCAACUCCUCUGCUGAGUUCUCUGUCGCAGUCACAUUAACCCAGUCUACUUCCUUCACCCCACGGAUGUUGUUCCCAAGAGCUCCUCACGCCUCCUACAUGAGCAUCCCCAUCUCGGGAACUGUUUCCAGGGAAACGAACACAAGGCAAACCAGUCUUUCAUAACUGCUAUGUCUGCUCUACGUCAAUACCACUAGGGUCCCGUGGGAAGAGUGAGCUAGCCUGGAAACCCCUAUGCUUGUCAUCUUGCACCUGGGUGGAGGGGGGAUGCAUUAGAAACUAGCCAA